UACGGAGGAUGCGAGCGUUAUCCGGAUUUAUUGGGUUUAAAGGGUCCGUAGGCGGGCUAGUAAGUCAGCGGUGAAAUCCUACAGCUUAACUGUAGACCUGCCGUUGAUACUGUGAGUCUUGAAUAGUAUUGAAGUAGCCGGAAUGUGUAGUGUAGCGGUGAAAUGCAUAGAUAUUACACAGAACACCAAUUGCGAAGGCAGGUUACUAAGUACCGAUUGACGCUGAUGGACGAAAGCGUGGGGAGCGAACAGG
rnacentral:rRNA from 1 species